rnacentral:rRNA from 1 species
GGAGAAUGUUAUCACGGGAGACACACGGCGGGUGCUAACGUCCGUCGUGAAGAGGGAAACAACCCAGACCGCCAGCUAAGGUCCCAAAGUCAUGGUUAAGUGGGAAACGAUGUGGGAAGGCCCAGACAGCCAGGAUGUUGGCUUAGAAGCAGCCAUCAUUUAAAGAAAGCGUAAUAGCUCACUGGUCGAGUCGGCCUGCGCGGAAGAUGUAACGGGGCUAAACCAUGCACCGAAGCUGCGGCAGCGACGCUUAUGCGUUGUUGGGUAGGGGAGCGUUCUGUAAGCCUGUGAAGGUGUACUGUGAGGUAUGCUGGAGGUAUCAGAAGUGCGAAUGCUGACAUAAGUAACGAUAAAGCGGGUGAAAAGCCCGCUCGCCGGAAGACCAAGGGUUCCUGUCCAACGUUAAUCGGGGCAGGGUGAGUCGACCCCUAAGGCGAGGCCGAAAGGCGUAGUCGAUGGGAAACAGGUUAAUAUUCCUGUACUUGGUGUUACUGCGAAGGGGGGACGGAGAAGGCUAUGUUGGCCGGGCGACGGUUGUCCCGGUUUAAGCGUGUAGGCUGGUUUUCCAGGCAAAUCCGGAAAAUCAAGGCUGAGGCGUGAUGACGAGGCACUACGGUGCUGAAGCAACAAAUGCCCUGCUUCCAGGAAAAGCCUCUAAGCAUCAGGUAACAUCAAAUCGUACCCCAAACCGACACAGGUGGUCAGGUAGAGAAUACCAAGGCGCUUGAGAGAACUCGGGUGAAGGAACUAGGCAAAAUGGUGCCGUAACUUCGGGAGAAGGCACGCUGAUAUGUAGGUGAAGCGACUUGCUCGUGGAGCUGAAAUCAGUCGAAGAUACCAGCUGGCUGCAACUGUUUAUUAAAAACACAGCACUGUGCAAACACGAAAGUGGACGUAUACGGUGUGACGCCUGCCCGGUGCCGGAAGGUUAAUUGAUGGGGUUAGCGGUAACGCGAAGCUCUUGAUCGAAGCCCCGGUAAACGGCGGCCGUAACUAUAACGGUCCUAAGGUAGCGAAAUUCCUUGUCGGGUAAGUUCCGACCUGCACGAAUGGCGUAAUGAUGGCCAGGCUGUCUCCACCCGAGACUCAGUGAAAUUGAACUCGCUGUGAAGAUGCAGUGUACCCGCGGCAAGACGGAAAGACCCCGUGAACCUUUACUAUAGCUUGACACUGAACAUUGAGCCUUGAUGUGUAGGAUAGGUGGGAGGCUUUGAAGUGUGGACGCCAGUCUGCAUGGAGCCGACCUUGAAAUACCACCCUUUAAUGUUUGAUGUUCUAACGUUGGCCCCUGAUC